rnacentral:rRNA from 1 species
AUUGAACGCUGGCGGCAUGCCUUACACAUGCAAGUCGAACGGCAGCACGGGAGCAAUCCUGGUGGCGAGUGGCGAACGGGUGAGUAAUAUAUCGGAACGUGCCCAGUCGUGGGGGAUAACGUAGCGAAAGCUACGCUAAUACCGCAUACGAUCUAUGGAUGAAAGCGGGGGGAUCGCAAGACCUCGCGCGAUUGGAGCGGCCGAUAUCAGAUUAGUAGUUGGUGNGGUAAGGCUCACCAAGCCGACGAUC